rnacentral:tRNA from 1 species
AUGUGGCUCAGUGGUAGAGCACUUGCCUGGCAUGCACAAGGCUCUGGGUUCAAUCCCCAGGACCAUA